GUUCCCUACGGGGCGCAGCAGUGAGGAAUAUUGGUCAAUGGCCGAGAGGCUGAACCAGCCAAGUCGCGUGAGGGAUGACGGCCCUACGGGUUGUAAACCUCUUUUGUCGGGGAGCAAGACCCGCCUCGUGCAGGCGGAGCGAGAGUACCCGAAGAAAAAGCAUCGGCUAACUCCGUGCCAGCAGCCGCGGUAAUACGGAGGAUGCGAGCGUUCUCCGGAUUUAUUGGGUUUAAAGGGUGCGCAGGCGGCGAGUUAAGUCAGCGGUAAACUUUCGGGUCUCAACCCCGACGACCCGUUGAACCUGG
rnacentral:rRNA from 1 species